UCCGGGGCUACCCACUGUUGCGAGACUGUGUGCUGCCUUUCCAACUCCUCUCGGUGCAGCACCUACAUGUUGGGGUUCACGGUGAUGAUGAGCUGUUGAAGAGUGUUCCAAGCUCGGGCUUCAGUCCGACCAAGGGAAUGAUGGGAUUCCAUGUACUGCAACUACCGAUGUCUCCAUGGUUCUUCCUUAAUUUACUGGUGUCAAGGUGGGUCUUGACCUGCACGAGCUGCAGUGUUGGUCAUGUCUUUGCUGAAUGGGAGGAGCCACCACCCAUGAGCUUUUGGGAGAACCGAGAACUCGGAAGACCAUGUUGGUCUUCUAAGAUCUCAAUGCCGGCUGGAUGAUCAAACACAGUUGCAGAAGAACUUGGGAAUUUAAGAUGCUACGUAUAUUUAUUCGAUGCCACAUAUUUUUCAUAUCAGUUUUAGUUUCAACAUGAAAUCGAUGAGGAUUAUUUGUAACAAUUUAUUUGUAUGAUUUUAGUGUUACAUAUGCUAAAUUUUGAUGAAGGUGGGGAGAGCAUGCAGGCUAAAAACAGGGUGAUGGUGUUGGUAGAUUAGAGUGGCAGGGCCGAGAAAAGCCAUGAUGUAGGGGACCUCCUCACCCUCCUCUAUCUCCUCCUCCUGUCUUUUCCCACCACCACAACCACCACCACCACCAUAGUGGUGGAGGUUGUGAUCUCCCCAGUCCUGCAAACUCUCUUGCCUCCCUGUACUAACCAUCAAUGAUGUAUGAUCUUUUUAGUUAGCUUAUCCUUUCUUGACUACUCAA